rnacentral:rRNA from 1 species
GAUGAACGCUAGCGGCAGGCUUAACACAUGCAAGUCGAGCGGGCGUAGCAAUACGUCAGCGGCAGACGGGUGAGUAACGCGUGGGAACAUACCUUUUGGUUCGGAACAACACAGGGAAACUUGUGCUAAUACCGGAUAAGCCCUUACGGGGAAAGAUUUAUCGCCGAAAGAUUGGCCCGCGUCUGAUUAGCUAGUUGGUG